rnacentral:misc_RNA from 1 species
GAAAUGCGAUAAGUAAUGUGAAUUGCAGAAUUCAGUGAAUCAUCGAAUCUUUGAACGCAUCUUGCGCUCCUUGGUAUUCCUUGGAGCAUGCCUGUUUGAUUAUCAUGAAAUCUUCAAAGUAAAUCUUUUGUUAACUCAAUUGGUUUCUACUUUGGUAUUGGAGGUCUUUGCAGCUUCACACCUGCUCCUCUUUGUUCAUUAGCUGGAUCUCAGUGUUAUGCUUGGUUCCACUCGGCGUGAUAAGUUAUCUAUCGCUGAGGACACUGUAAAAGGUGGCCAAGGUAAAUGCAGAUGAACCGCUUCUAAUAGUCCAUUGACUUGGACAAUACUUUUAUGAUCUGAUCUCAAAUCAGGUAGGACUACCCGCUGAACUUAAGC